rnacentral:rRNA from 1 species
AUGGCCGAUAUAAGUGCUGAGUGUUUGGAUGUGUACGUAAACAUUGUCAGCAGGAUGUUUCAUAGCGAGGAUGAAGGUUUUGAGUUCUAUAACAAGUAUGCUCUUGAGAAAGGCUUUAGUGUGAGAAAAGGCUAUGUUGAGUGGGAUGAAGCGAACGAGAAGAUAAUUCUGAGGAAAUUUGUCUGUAGUCGUGAAGGUUGCCGUGAAGAGAAGCACAUGAAGAGGAAGAGAGAAGAUAGGAAGAGGAAGCCACGAAAUAUCACUCGUGUGGGGUGUAAAGCGAAAUUUGUCAUUGCAAGAGUCGCCAAAAUAGGGCGGUGGUUUGUGAAGGAUUUCAUCGAUGAACACAACCAUCCUCUGGCCCCAUGAGACGUUGCUUGCUUUUUGCGUUCCCACAGAAGAAUCAGCGACGAGCAGAAAGCGGACAUUAUAGAGAUGGAAAAUGUUGGAAUCCAGAAACACAAAAUCAUGGAUGUGUUGUGCAUGCAGUACGGUGGAUAUGACCAGGUUGGAUGCACGACGAGGGACAUCUAUAACUUCUCCCAUCGCUACAAGCAGGAAACAGUCGCUGCUGGUGAUGCUCAGACGGUGAUCCGUCACAUGAUGGCGCGGCAAGAGAGAGACCCGGAUUAUUUCUUCAAAUACUUGGUUGAUAAACAUGGGCAUCUGAAGGGAUUGUUCUGGUCCAAUACUCAAUCUCGCCUUGACUAUGAGGCUUUCGGCGAUGUUGUGGUUUUUGAUAGCACAUACAGGACCAAUAAGUACAAUUUGCCGUUUGUGCCGUUUGUCGGGUUGAAUCACCACCGCAGCACAGUUAUCUUUAGAUGCGGGAUCAUUUCUCAUGAAACUAACGAGGCGUACGAGUGGAUGUUGCGGAUAUUUUCUGAAUCCAUGGCGCAGAAGCAUCCGAUAUCUGUAAUCACUGACGGGGACCUUGCAAUGCAGAGAGCGAUCAGGGUGGUGUGGCCUGACUCAUACCACAGGCUGUGUGUAUGGCACAUUCAACAGAACAUCGUACGCCAUCUGCAUGAUGACGAGGUUAGGGAAGAAUUUAGAUCUUUCAUAUAUGACUCGUCUUGUAUUGAAGAGCAUGAGAGAAAAUGGAUAGAGUUCUUACAAAGGAAUGAAGUGACAAGUGAGGAGUCGUGGUUGCAUCAGAUGUAUCAGAUGAAGAAGUUGUGGUGUGCUCCAUACCUGGUGGGGCACUGUUUCUUAGGAUUGAGCAGCAAUCAGCGGAGUGAGAGCCUAAACUCCGUGCUACAUACACAUCUUGAGGGUAAGAUGACAUUGUUUGAUAUGCUAGAGCACUAUGAGCGUUGCCUUUCGGGACGACGCUUGAAUGAGGCGAUCCUAGACAUCGUGACCUUGCAGUCCGUUCCAUUUACAGACGCGGAUGCUUCAAGUCUUGAGAAACAUGCUGCCCGA